CACAGCAACACUUGGUGUGUGGCAAGUUUCUGCAAAUCAUUAAUUAUUAUAAAUCAGCAAGGGGUGCUGCUGCUUUCCUUCUAACCCCAGGAGCAGGCACACGCACAGGGUGGGUUUAAGAAAAAUAACAUGGCAACGUUUCCCUUCCGUGAGAUUUAAUGCUUCCUUGCUCCCAGCGCUUCAGCCACUCGUUGCCCCUUCCCUGCUGGGAUUUGUGGUUUGCAUUCAGACCGGCCCGUUCUGCGGAUUGAGUUUAGCACCCAGCCGUAAAACCACCCAGCUGGUGGGCACUGCUAUCGGGAACAGAGAAAGGGAAAGAGCGGAGGUGUGCUGGGAGCUUCUCACAGGAGAUGUGUCACCGCUGGAAACACGGUGCGGGAUCAGCCCGAGGGCUGCAAAUCAAAAUCAACACAAGGCUUCGGGUCCCUGGGAAGUCACAGGUUCAAAUUUGGGGGAUUAACAACAGAUGAUUACUUUGAUGAUGGUGAGGAAAACAACAUGACGGCCAAAGACAUGCUGAACUACCCAGCCAGCCAUUUAUCCUGGAUCUAUGAUCCACCUACAUGUUAACUUCAGCAAAAGCACAACGCUGCUCAAGCUGUGAUACAGCCUUAUCAGAAAGAAAUGCUUAAACACAGACCUCCUUCUUAAAACCUUUCCACUGGACAUCUUUUUGCCAUUAUAGCACCUCUAAAAGUGAAGCCUGGGUGACAACUGAUGCAGUGAUUGACCCCCCAGUUACAAUAUGCUACACCUAACAGUACUGGCAGCAUGCACUACCGACCUCCAUGGGAAACAAGUUCUGAUGUGCUGGGUUUAUGUCUCAUGUGCCUGACUAAUAUCAGCUAAUCCCCAAGCCCCCACACCAGGAGUUUAAUAAAAUACUGAGAAGUGGCAACUACGCACCAAAUACGCACAUAAGCUCUGUGCUACUCAGAAAUUAGUCUAAUUAGCUUGCACAUAAAACCCAAACUCUCUUCAUCAUAGUAUGUCUCCAUGUUAAUGUGUCUUUUUAGCUUAAAGACAAUCUCAAGAUUGUCGUAGCUGAGGUUCUACUUCUCUUGCAAUCACACACGUCCCAUUGGACUGACUGCCUGAAACCACAGCACCUGCCCCAUAAUCUCCGGAGCCAGCACUCACGUAAUGCCAGGAAUCACCUGGAUCUUCGCUCUAUUAAUAGAGACCCUGCCUUGCACAUGGUGACAGGGGCUCAGGCAGCACCCCUGGAUCACGUAACACCACGUGUGCUUCCUCUGCCAGGAGCGUGCUGUGCAGGCACCUGGACUGCUGCUUCUCCUCCUUCUGCUGCAUCAAGUACGAGCCAAAAAUUGCAGCAUCCAAGGAUCCCGCACCAGAUGUCAGCACCCACUGCUUUUACGGUGAGGAUAACUAAGUCAUCAACUGUCUCUUGCAGGAAGAGUAAGAAGACUUGGCCCUUUUCUGCAGUAAUUACGCUGUUGGUACAUAAACACAGAUUAAAGGAAGCAAACUGGCUGCUGUUUUUAACUCCAGGUGAUGAUCCCUCAUACAAAACACAAUCAAACUGUCAGUUCAUUCAGAUCCCAGUCACAGCAUUCAUCACAGUCAUGGUUUUGUACAGAUGACAACUCCACACAUUCAUUUUAACUUGCCUAAACAGAACAUGCUUUAAAAACCUAUUUGCUUACAGGCUAAUUUUUGAGCUUCCAAUGAUCUCAAUCUUACCAAUCCAACUUCCACAUUUAAAUAGUUACCUUACCUAAGCUCUUGUCAGCAGCUGCUACCAUAUCGCCAACCUGCAUGACGAGCAGACAGUUCCUAAGUUCUCCAGGCCCCUACUCAUUAUAGCAACUGCUUCUUUCUCCUUUACACAGCACUCACAGAGCACUUGCUAAUCACAACAGUGCACAUUCUACCAUGAAAUACUUCGUAUGCUUAUAAGACCUGUAUUGAAAAAAAAAAACAACAACAAGAACAAAACCCAAACUACACACAAGUACAUGGGUAGGUUCUUCCAUUCCUACAUGGGAAGAUCCGUCACAGCGCAAGCACAUGGGCUGCAUAGCUGCACAGUCAGAUCACAUCCUUAUAAUAAAGGACUACAACUUCUGUCCCCUUUCUACUGGAUGAAAUGUGAGGAAUUCUCCUGGCACGCCCCAGUGACAAAUGCCUGGAGUGCCAGGAGGAAUCUCAGCAGUAUCGGUCUGUGAGCUACCAGCCACCAUCUCUUCUUAGGCAUGGAAAGCUACGAGGCAUUCUUGGUGUUAGUAGUUAGCUCCAAGUCAACUCCUCUCAAAUCCAAAGAAAGGGGCAGACCUCUGCAGCCACAAAGCAUACGUGGUUUUUGCUACAGAGGCCACAUAUUUCUCCACUGACGUCCCAAGCACUACAUCCUGUUCAGCUAAACUGGAAAGUCACUUGAGAUGUCACUGAAGUAAAGCACCAAACCAUUACUUCUUCAAGACAGUGAUGCAGAAUUUAUUCAUAGCUUUGUCAAAACAUUUCCCUUGAAAUGUCUUCUUAAUAAACUGAUUUAAAAACUAACAACUGAUAUUAAGACCUGCACUCUCCUGUAAUCUACCAAGAACAUUAUGAGUUGUAAGGCAGCGCUGAACCAAGAACAGAAAAUAUGUUUGAUUCCAAAGACUAGGGCAAGUCAGAUUGCUGAAUCCAAGUGAGAAUCACUAGCUAGGCAUCUCAGCCAAAACUGUGCAAAUGUGCUCACCUCAUUUCUGACAUGGGUAUCUCCUUCCAUAGUGCAGAAAUAAUAUUACUGGCAGUUUAAUUUUCUGAAUUAUCCAACUCAUUAAAGAAAUUAAAUGGAAAGUGACAAAACAGGAGAGCUUUUAUUUUUCUUCUGAGUUCUGAGCUAAAAAAGAAAGGGUAAGAAGAUGAGAUCUAAGAAGAACAGAAAACUCCACCAGCUCGCUAAGUCAAAUAACACUUUCCUUGAUUCCUAAUUUGAUUUUAAUUGGAAAAUAAACAAACAAAACAAAAAGCAAUACUCAUCAGGUAGUUCAAUAAUACAAUUAAGCGAGGCCUUCCUAGCAUAUUUUGAACUGAAUUUGAAUUUCCAUCCAUGCAGAAUUUGACAAAGAUCAUACAGAAUAGUACUCCCCUGAACCUCCAGCCAUACACCAGCAAAACAAUCCAAACUGGACAUCUGACAUCUAUGUGUCACAUUUUUCCACGCAGUGUACAGGCUCCUAUGAGAGCCAAAGCUGAUGUAGCCAGCAGAAGCAGUAGGGCUGAGGGAGCAAUUCGUCUGAGCAGCCAGAAGGUGUCUACUUCAGGGUGUGCUGAAUCACUCUCCAGGCUUGACUGUGCAAGUUAGCUGCAUCUUCAGUGGCCAUAAUGGGAGUUUAUAAGUGCCCACAUUGUACGUCAACACCCACACAGAGAGGCCUAAAUUUAGGUGUUUGUGUUCUGCCUCUAGUAAAUGAAAAGUGCAUUAGUUGCUACUUUCUAAUGCACAAAAAUUAACACGCUGAAUAACUGUAGCUUGGAAAAAAAUCUUUGGAAGCGUGACUUGGCUUCCAGAAUGGAAUGAUAAAUUCAACAUGAAAGGAACAUU